AGCCUGGGCUGCAUGGGACUGACUCUCUUUCUCUCUAAAAGCAAACACUCAAACCCAAAAGAGAAAGCUGGGAUGUAGCUCAGUAAAGUGCCUGCCUAGCAGGCAGAGGCUCCAAUCUCUAGUAUCACCCUCACUUGCAAAAGACAAAGCAUAUCUCCUUCUCAGCGUUACCCUUAAUUAUGUGCUGGGGAAAGGAGAAGUUAGGGAACAAAUAGGCAGACAGAGCAGCCAGGGACUCACAUGUUCCCAUAGAACUCUUGUGCCCACACUCAGAGAGCCAUUUGGUCAUUGGAAACUUUGGCGAACACAGUUUUUCCUUCCUUACUGGACCCUGGGUGGUCUUCCCACACCGGGACCCCACCAUAGGUUCAGUGCUUCAGUUCAGGCUCUUCCUUCUUAGACUUAGAGGAGAGGUGAAUGGCACACUAAAUCCUUUUGGCUUCCAUAUAAAAUUCUUUGGCAACUGCUUUUGGAAAUGGACAGUUUGCUCUGUGCCUGUUUUGCACAUUGGCUUCAGAUUGGAACAAAAAUGGGAAUUUGGGUUUUGGAGCUGCCAUUUGGAGUGAAUCACCCCACCGCCUUGUUUCCUCUCCUCUGUGACAGACUUCCAAGGCUAUUUUUAUUCAGGGUCAUUUCUUGACCCUGUAGACUUCUGCUGAGUUUAGCUCCCAAAUAGAGCCAGAUGUGGAUGGGAUCAAGCGCUCAGAAGUCACUACUGGUUACUUCCAUUGAAGGCUUUUGAAGGGAUCGACUCUUAGGUUUGCUUGACUUUGAACAGGACUGGUGAGUUUGGUAUGGAUGGACACAUUUACUUAAUGAUCCGCCUCCAUUUCUGCACUGAGCUAGCCUUAUGUGGAGAGCUAGCUGCUCCAUAUACACUGGUUGUCAUUGAUGUCUGAGCCCCCAUUUUCUGAUAAUUCCCUAAAGACAGGAUUGGGCCAUUGUGUUGUUGCCCAGCCAUUGUUGACUUCACUGAGAGAGAAAUUUCUGUGGUCCUUAGAAGUGUCAGCCCCUAUCAUAGCUUCUCCCAUUCAUGCAACCUACUGACAUCACUCAAGAUGUCGACUCUAUUCAUAGGUUGGAGUGAGAGGGUAAGCCUCAUUCUAAUUGUCGUUUCCAUCCCCUGAUUGAUUUGACAGUUUUAUUUCCUGGGGGACACAGGCUUCUUUCAUCUAACUGCUCUGGAAUUGUUGGUUAGAGCUCUUGGAGAGACCUAUGUCUUCCAUACUUUAGGGGCAUUUGUGUGGAAAGAGGAGAAGGAAAAGUGUGCUUGCCACAGAGCGGGAGAGAGAGAACACACAGGCUUUGAGGCCUGCCUGAUCGGCUCCCAAUCUCAGCUUCCCUUUGCCUCCUCCUGGCAGUAUGACUUGGGUUCCCUAGGCCUCGGGGUAUGUAUAUGGACAGCGAUCAGCCUCUAGGGUUAUGGGGAUAGCAUUGUCAGUGUGGAAAGGGUCUGGUCAGGGCUCAGUCUACCCACUUAAUUCCUGUUGACUCUUCCCUGCUCCUUCCCAUGCUGCCUGCCCUCCCUGCCCUUCCUGCCCCUGUGAGUGCUGGAGUAGCUGUGUUCUUCCUCCCCCAGUAAAAUAGAGGAGUAAUCUGGUUUGGUUUUACCUUGGGAGGCAAGGAUGAAAAAGAUCCUGGAAGGAAUUCUGGUUAAUUUGUGGAAAGAAGGUGUUUUUCAUGUUCUACCUGGCUCCCUUGAGCCUCCCUGGUAGGAAUGAUGGGCUAUUGUGAAACUAAAUGAUAGCAUCUGAAAACCUCCUAAUAGGGGCCAGAACAUAGCAGGUCUUCGGUGAAUGCUUAGCCCCCUGGUCCAGCCUCCUGGAUUGGACAUUUCCUGGCCAUGCUCAGUGCAUUGUGUAACUGCUGCCUGAAACAUAACCGCUUCUACAGGAGUACCACUGUUCACGUCCUGAAAAUCAUACUAAACACCUCCCAGCAAGAACUUCUGCUGUAUUUUAUUCUGCGUACCAUGUUCUCUGAUCUCACUGACCCUCGAAUCUAGGCACUGAGAGCUAUGUGAUACAUUUCUAAGUAGAGGGUCUUUAAAAAUAAGACAACUCUUAACCAGUUUCCUUAUUUAACUGUGGAUUCUAUGUGAUUUUCACAUACUCUCCAGCUUUAAGCUGGAAACGACUUGACUUUUGCUGAGCACUGUACCGAGUACUUUGCUAGGCUUUCUUUUGGAAGUCACUCUUUGAGAGAGUCUGUUGGGUAAAGGAUGCAUAAAUAAAUGAAUCAAUGAGAAAUGAAAUAUGGAGCCCAAGUAAACAGAGCAGAUAAUUUAUCAUUUUAAGUAUUCCCUAGACAGAAGGACUCAACACCAACCAUAUUUUUAAAAAGAACUGCUGACAACAUAAGAGCUGUGUAUAUGUAUAGAUUACAGGCCAGAGAGGAUUGGGACUUGAGAUUGGAAAUGGCUUGGGCAUAUUCUCCCGAUGAGGCACAACCUAAGCGGAUCCUUGAUGGAAAAGAGCUGUCUCACAUCUGGAAACUGUCUUUCCCCACUGCCUUCUUGCCUGAACUUCCCAGAUGAGAGGCUCUGUGUCUCCCUACUCUCAGUGUAGAUAGCCAUGCUACUAGCCAGCCUCCAUUGAGUAAAGUGCUUUCCUCUACAAUGUCUACACCUUUUCAGUAUUCUCUUAAGCUGUCUUCCAAUUAGAGAUUAAGUUGAAUUGAUACAAAUUCUCUUAGAAAGUUGCAUACUGCCAGGCACAGUGACUUGGAUUUAUAAUCCCAGCCCUUGUGAACCUGAGGCAGAAGGAUGACCCUGAGUUAAAAGCAACUCUGGGCCAUGUGGUUGCAGGCCUCUCCUCUCCCACUCUUCUGGAACCAUAUAUUUCUGAGGCAGCCCAGGCACAUUAGUGUACAUUGGCCUAAGUCUGGUUACCCGCUAUUGCAUGCCUCCCCGUAGCCCUCCACUGGAAUCAGGGACUGGAGUUUUCAUUUCUGAGAAGUGAAUUUGCUUUGUGGUGCUGAUGAGACAGAUCUGGGAUGGACUGUUAAAUGCUGUUGUAAACGGUGUGAAUGGCAUUGUAGUUCAGUUUACUGCGGAGGCAAGUCCUUGUGACAAGGGAGAAUCACCAAGGAAAACUUAGCACAAAUACGGUUUCUGGUCAUCUUUGAGUCUAGGACAGGGAACAGGAGAUCUCCCUUUAUCUUAUACUCAAUUACUGAACUUCUGAAUCUCGGCACCCAGACAGUUGUGUACUGUGAUCAUGACACUGUGGGCGGGAAAUGUUUGAGAUAGCCUGUGAGUUAGAUCAUGGCUUCCAACAUAUCCUGAUGAAAUAGAAUGGUCUACUUGUGGAAAGCAGGGCAGAGAAUCCCAGUAAGGGGCUUGGAUAAUUGGGAAAGUGUAUGAAGGCCAUCAGCUGGCUACUUGUCCAUGCUCUGCCCCCAUCCAGUCCCCCCACGUCCUAGCUCUUCUGUGAAGAUACACUACCUUAUAGUCCCCACAUAGCUGCCUCACUGAUGUUGCCAUUCUGACGAUCUAGAAGUCCUUUCAUCUCUCAUGCAGUCUAUGUAACUCACAACAUAGCAGUAGGUCUUACUUUAGUGGGACUCAAGCACUAAAAAGACUUUUACUAAAAAGUGCUUUACUACAAAGACUGCUUCCUGCUGAGCAAAAUUUUUCCUAGAGGAGCCACAGGCUGGUACAAAGUUGUAAUAUGUUGUAAUAUGUCCUUCUGGAAUGGAUGGAAAGGCAUAUGGAGGAACAAACAUAGCUUUCUUUUAAUUUAUCUUUUUCAUAUCUCUCCCAUGAUUAUAUUACUGUCUUGAGUUU
rnacentral:lncRNA from 1 species